rnacentral:sRNA from 1 species
CGCUUGGUUGUCUUCAAAUGCUUGAAGC